ACGCGUAUAGAACCUACCUUUACAGAGGAAUAGCCUUUAGAAAUGAAGAUUAAUGCCUCAUAGUAUUGUAGACUGGCAUCAGUUUAUAAUUAAAGAUUUAUCGGUAAAAGAUGGCUAUGCGUCCUAUUAGUUAGUUGGUAAGGUAACGGCUUACCAAGACAGCGAUAGGUAGGGGUCCUGAGAGGGAGAUCCCCCACACUGGUACUGAGACACGGACCAGACUCCUACGGGAGGCAGCAGUGAGGAAUAUUGGACAAUGGAGGAGACUCUGAUCCAGCCAUGCCGCGUGUAGGAAGAAUGCCCUAUGGGUUGUAAACUACUUUUAUACAGGAAGAAACACUGGUAUGUAUACCAGCUUGACGGUAC
rnacentral:rRNA from 1 species